AGACGACAAUACUAAACCACCCGCGAGGGUGGGACGGAAAGCCCAUAGGGUCUCAAGCAGACAGCCGGGUCGCCGAA
rfam:Geobacter sp. OR-1 DNA, contig: OR1_contig000024.